UAGUCAUAUGCUUGUCUCAAAGAUUAAGCCAUGCAUGUCUAAGUAUAAACUUGUUUUAUACGGUGAAACUGCGAAUGGCUCAUUAAAUCAGCAAUAGUUUAUUUGAUUGUGCGCUGAUUGCUACUUGGAUAACCGUAGUAAUUCUAGAGCUAAUACAUGCUAAAAAGGCUGACUUCCACAGAGAUCGGCCCUUCUAUCCGAGGCCUUCUUCUUCGGGAGGAGGAAGGGGGUAGGAGGGUUUCUUUGUGUUCUCAGAAGGCCUGCAUUUAUUAGAUUG
rnacentral:rRNA from 1 species